GAGCUCUGAAAAAAAUUUGACUUUGAAAUAUUUUUACGAUUAAAAAGUUUCAGUUGACUUUUGAACGUUGACGAAGACGGACGUACUUUCGUGAGCUCUGACUAUUGAUGAAAAGUUUUGAGUUUUACUGACUUGUACUUUGAGAGUAAAAUUGACUUCGCGUUAUAGAAUAGCGACUUGGUACUCAGGUUGUUGAAUGACUGGAUGACUGAAGUGUUAGGUUAUUGUUAUGAGAUAACAACUUGACUUUGACUUGAGUUGUGAAAUGAAAUCAUACUCUUAUGCGAUGUUAACUUUUGAACGUUUAGUAUUGACUGACAACGAACUUUUGUGAGCGUUAUAUAUGAAAUGUUUGACUUACAUUAAUUUUUUUGAACGACUUGACUUCACUUUAAGUUUUGACAUCGGACUGAUCGGACGUGUUUUUUUAAGCUCUGACUGUUGUGAAUAAUUAAAUUUAUGUUGUGGUGUCAAGCGAUUGACUGUCAGUUGAGGUUCAGAUGUCGAGCUGUGCGGACGUGUUCAUCGAGCUGCUGUCUACAAAAAACGUGAGUACAAAUUUUUUUCGUUUUACUGUUUACAAGUUGCGUGAUGAUGUAUGAUGGUUGUAAUGUGUUGGGUAGAAAUUACUCAGUGCUGAUACAGUGUCGAUAUGUUGUGAUGAGCGAUAAUAGUGGAUGAUGGUGGAACAGAAUAUUCAUUGAGCUAUUUUGAGGAAGCGAACAUAUGAUGGAAAAAUGUUGCAAAAAUAUUAAAUGCAUGUGCUUAUAUGUACUAAAUAUGAUAUUGCUUUACUUGUAUUUGCAUGCUGUUAACAUUUCUAUUUUAUUCCAGUGGGCUGUGGUGAGUAUUGCAGAUUUAACUUGUAUGUGUGGUUUUUAGUUAACGAUGCUUAAUGAAAACUGUUAUUGUACACUUAGUAUGGAAUGAUGUGAAUGAUGAUAUGAUGGGUAGAAUUAAUCAGUGCUUGUGUCUAGAAAUGCUGAAUGUUUAUUGAAAAGGCUAAAUGCUAGCCAGUACUAAGAGUUGAGCUACCGUGGGAAUGUGAAACGAACUGAUGGUGUAAUAUGAUGGUGUAUUGACAUACUUUUCUUAUAUGUACUAAAUAUGAUAUUGCUUUACUUGUAUUUGCAUGCUGUUAACAUUUCUAUUUUGUUCCAGUGUGCUGUGGUGAGUACUGUAGAUAUUACUUGAUUUUUAGUGUCUAUGAAUGCUGAUGUAUGAUAGCUAUAGCAUGAGCUCAAUGCUAACCAGUAUUAUGAGUUGAUGUAUUGUGGUGAUGCUAAUCGAACUGAUGAUGUAACAUGAUGGUGAACACUUACUGAAUGCAUAAAAUUUAUUGAAUUGCGUUUGUUGAUAUGCACUAUAAUAUGAUAAAUGUAUUGCUUAACAUGUAUAUUUCAUGAUGUUUAAUUUCAGUGGGCUGUGGUGAGUACUGUAGAUUGUAUUGCCUAUGUAUAGAAUUCAAUAAAAGAUUAUGACUGAAAACUGCUUUUGAUUCUUUUUGAACAGUUUUAGGGACUAUAAGUCUAUAACAAAAAUAUGUCGGUUGGCGUUCAUACAGCAAUGUUUUGAGUAGUACAGAAAUGUUUCUACGUUUGUGGUCGCCAGUUGUCUGUGAUGUGUAAAGUGAAAAAUACACGGAGCUUUGAAUACAACAAACAUUUACUGUUUUAACACAGAUUGUGUGCUAUGCAUUUUUCGAUGUAGAUCUUUUUCAGAUUUGACAUGAAAUGUAGACCUGACAUUUGAACAGAGCUGGGAAACGAAAAGGUAAGUUUGUUAAAUUUCACAAUGAACACUUGUGUUUUGACAAAAGAAGAGAUAAAGUGAGUUUUGUCAUCAUCAUGGUUUCUUUCAGAGUAUAACUCGUGAACAGAUGAAAACCUAUUUUUUGCUAGAUUUUCAUGUACUCUUUUUUUGGAUGAUAAGUAUGUCAGUAACUCAAAAUCAUACGGCUAGUACAGUAUGGAACAUGAAUGCUUUGUUCAGAUUUUCAGAUGUGUGCUGGCAGUUCAAGUCUGGCAGCUGAAGUGAACAGUCGUGUUUUCUGGAGCUCCAACAAUAUGCUAGAAGGUAAGUAACUAUGUUUGUUUUGCAUUGCAUGUUUUUAUAUGUUUCAGACUUUCAAGCAGAGAUGUCAUGCUGACUGGAGUUGAGCACAGGGCAGUGACAAAGUGAAAGGUAAGUACUUUUGACUGAAUGUUUGUUCUAUGCAUGUUUUGUUUUAAUACAUUUCAGGAGUGCUUAUCCAGUGAUGAUAUGACAGUUGGAGUGAACAGUGGAGCCAAGCAGUCUUGUUUUUGGAGCUACUCAACAAGCCUUGAAGGUAAGUUUAGAAUUUCUCAAUGUUAGUGAAUUGAAGUACUGUCACUUGCUUUUGGACAGUCGAACAGAACAGACGUGGUUGCGAGAGCUCUCAUAUCUGUUGUGUUAAACUGUUUUUAUGAUAUGUUAUGUUUGUUUGUUUGUUUGUGAUGUACUAUUUUUCAGAUGCUGAUGGCAGUGAUGGGUUUUCAAGCUGACCUGAACAGAAAAGCACUCAUAUGGUAAGUACAAAAUAGUUGUUAUAUGGGAUGUUUUGUGCAUGCUUUUAUGUUUCAGGUGUACUUGCUGACAGCGACGAAGACGAAUCAAGAAGAGGAACAUUGUUGAGAAAGUGAUUGGGACUUGCAAACAGGGUAAGUGUAACACUUGUGUUUGUUUAAUUUGUAACAUGCGUGCUUUGCUCUGUUUCAGAUUUCACAUGCAGAAAUUAAACAGGAUUUCAACUGCUGAGACACAAUUCAUCAAAAGUAAGGUAAGUUUUAAUUCAUUGAUUUGAGUUGUACAAUGUGUUCUUUACUUUAUUUCAGAUUCGAGUCACUGGUUUACACAUGGAAGAAGAUUUCCACGUCUGUUACUCAACUCUACAGAAGCAAGUUGAUGUCCAGAUGGCAAGCAGUACAGACGUGUUUCUUGGAGCUGCCAAACAGUGAGUACAAACGUUUUAUAUUUUUCAGUUGUUUACUCAUAGAAGUCUGUGAAAGAUGAUAACAAGGGUUGAAUUGCACAGUACUUGUGUCUAAAAAUGCUGAUGUGUGACGGUUUACUGAAAAGGGUAAAUGCUAGCCAGUAACACUUGAGCAACCGUGGGAUGUCGAACUAACUGAUGAUGUACUAUGAUGGUGAACACUUACUAUGUGUAUCGAAAUGCUUUUGUUGUUAUUUAUUAUAGACGAUUUGAUAUUGGUUAACAUUUGUUUGCAUGCUGUUAACAUUUCUAUUUCAUUUCAGUUGGCUGUGGUGAGUAUUGUAGUAUACAUUUGUUUCAAUAAAUCAUGAUGAAUGAAAACUGAUUUCGAUUCUUUUUUACAGUUUUAGGGAUUAUCACUCUAUAACAACUCUGUCGGUUGGUAUUCAUGAGUGUGAGCUUAAUACAGCAAUGUUUGAGUAAUACAAAAAAUGUAUGUACUCUUUUGUGGUCGCCAGUUGUCUGUGAUAUGUAUAGUAAAAAAAAACACAACACAAAGCUAUGAAGCAUACAAUUGUUUCAAGGUUUUAUCAAUAAUUGUGUACUGUGCAUGUUUUGAUUUAGUUCGUUUCAGAUAUGACAUGACCUGAAUAUUUGACAGUCGAACAGAGCUGAGCAUUGCAGAAAGGUAAGUGUUUUGUUUGAUAUUUACCAUGCAUACUUUGCUUUGCUCUGUUUCAGAUUCACAUGCAGAAAAGGUCUCAUAGUAGCCUCAACUGUGAAUAAGGAUAUCAACUGCUGUGACUAAACUGUUGAAGAAGGGUCUCUCAUGCAGUGAGGGAAAAGAAAAAGAUUUCAAUAAAGAAUCACUGCUGCAACUCAGCUCUUUAAACAAGGUAAGUGUUUACUAUGUUGUAUACAAAAUGUUUCUCUUUCUUACUAUGUUUCAGGUUAACAUUGCAGAGAUGUUUUGACAGCUUGUGACAGAAAAGAAAUUCAGCAGCUGUGUCUUGACUGUAGCCACAAGGUAAGUCGAAACAAAUAUACUGGUUUGUAUGUUGUGUUGUUAUGCCCUUCUAUGUUUCAGACUUACAUUGCUGUGACUGUUCCACAGUGGGUCAAAAAAGAGACGAAUACAGGUUUCAAGAAGAAAAUUGGCUGUUAAAACUCUGCACAAAAUAUGAGGUAAGUGAACUACUCUUUUGGUUUGUGUUGUGCUUUGUUCUGCUUAACUAUUUUUCAGAUUUGAGUGGUGGGUCGUUACAGAGCAGACUUUUUGACAAGUGAGAAAUUGAGAAACAGAGAAUGAUUCAAGAUCAGCUAGGUAAGUCUUGAUUAUUAUGCAUUGCUAAAUGUUUUUUUCAUUCCAGUAUGGCUGUGGUAAGUACACAAACUUUCUAUAAUUUAAUAUUGAACUGUUUUUAUGACCUGUAUUCUGCAUUGUAAAAUGUCUGUUUUUCAUUUCAGUAUCCUGUGGUAAGUACACUAACUUUGUAUAAUUUCAUAUUGAAAUGUUUUGAUGACUUGUAUCCUGCUAUGCAAUGCUUAAUAUAUUUUUCAUUUCAGUGUGGCUGUGGUAAGUACACUAACUUUCUUUUCUUUUUCAUAUUGAACUGUUUUGGUGACUUGUAUUCUGCUAUACAAAAUGUGUUUUUUUCAUUUCAGUUGCCUGUGGUAAGUACAAUUGCCUUCUUUAAUUUUCAUAUUGAACUGUUUUGAUGACUUGUAUACUGCUAUGCAAAAUGUCUGUUUUUCAUUUCAGUAGCCUGUGGUAAGUACACUUACUUUCUAUAAAUUCAUAUUGAACUGUUUUGAUGAUUUGUAUACUGCUAUGCAUUGCUAAAUGUUUUUUUCAUUUCAGUAUAGCUGUGGUAAGUACACUAA